rnacentral:rRNA from 1 species
UAGGGAAUCUUCCGCAAUGGGCGAAAGCCUGACGGAGCAACGCCGCGUGAGUGAUGAAGGUCUUCGGAUCGUAAAACUCUGUUAUUAGGGAAGAACAAAUGUGUAAGUAACUAUGCACGUCUUGACGGUACCUAAUCAGAAAGCCACGGCUAACUACGUGCCAGCAGCCGCGGUAAUACGUAGGUGGCAAACGUUAUCCGGAAUUAUUGGGCGUAAAGCGCGCGUAGGCGGUUUUGUAAGUCCGAUGUGAAAGCCCACGGCUCAACCGUGGAGGGUCAUUAGAAACUGGAAAACUUGAGUGCAGAAGAGGAAAGGGGAAUUCCAUGUGUAGCGGUGAAAUGCGCAGAGAUAUGGAGGAACACCAGUGGCGAAGGCGACUUUCUGGUCUGUAACUGACGCUGAUGUGCGAAAGCGUGGGGAUCAAACAGG